rnacentral:tRNA from 1 species
UUUAAAUAGUUUAUAUAAAAUACUGAUUUGUGGGGUCAGGGAUACAUUAAUAUGUUUUAGAUAA